rnacentral:rRNA from 1 species
AGUUUGAUCCUGGCUCAGAUUGAACGCUGGCGGCAUGCCUUACACAUGCAAGUCGAACGGCAGCGGGCCUUCGGGUGCCGGCGAGUGGCGAACGGGUGAGUAAUGCAUCGGAACGUGCCAUUGAGUGGGGGAUAACGUAGCGAAAGUUACGCUAAUACCGCAUAUUCUGUGAGCAGGAAAGCAGGGGACCGCAAGGCCUUGCGCUCUUUGAGCGGCCGAUGUCAGAUUAGCUAGUUGGUGAGGUAAAGGCUUACCAAGGCGACGAUCUGUAGCGGGUCUGAGAGGAUGAUCCGCCACACUGGAACUGAGACACGGUCCAGACUCCUACGGGAGGCAGCAGUGGGGAAUUUUGGACAAUGGGCGCAAGCCUGAUCCAGCCAUGCCGCGUGAGUGAAGAAGGCCUUCGGGUUGUAAAGCUCUUUCGGCCGGGAAGAAAUCGCAUGGGUUAAUACCCUGUGUGGAUGACGGUACCGGAAUAAGAAGCACCGGCUAACUACGUG